AGUCGUAACAAGGUCUCCGUAGGUGAACCUGCGGAGGGAUCAUUACACAAAUAUGAAGGCGGGCUGGAACCUCUCGGGGUUACAGCCUUGCUGAAUUAUUCACCCUUGUCUUUUGCGUACUUCUUGUUUCCUUGGUGGGUUCGCCCACCACUAGGACAAACAUAAACCUUUUGUAAUUGCAAUCAGCGUCAGUAACAAAUUAAUAAUUACAACUUUCAACAACGGAUCUCUUGGUUCUGGCAUCGAUGAAGAACGCAGCGAAAUGCGAUAAGUAGUGUGAAUUGCAGAAUUCAGUGAAUCAUCGAAUCUUUGAACGCACAUUGCGCCCUUUGGUAUUCCAAAGGGCAUGCCUGUUCGAGCGUCAUUUGUACCCUCAAGCUUUGCUUGGUGUUGGGCGUCUUGUCUCUAGCUUUGCUGGAGACUCGCCUUAAAGUAAUUGGCAGCCGGCCUACUGGUUUCGGAGCGCAGCACAAGUCGCACUCUCUAUCAGCAAAGGUCUAGCAUCCAUUAAGCCUUUUUUUUCAACUUUUGACCUCGGAUCAGGUAGGGAUACCCGCUGAACUUAAGCAUAUCAAUAGUAACAAGUCG
rnacentral:rRNA from 1 species